rnacentral:rRNA from 1 species
AAAUUGAAGAGUUUGAUCAUGGCUCAGAUUGAACGCUGGCGGCAGGCCUAACACAUGCAAGUCGAACGGUAACAGGAAGCAGCUUGCUGCUUAGCUGACGAGUGGCGGACGGGUGAGUAAUGUCUGGGAAACUGCCUGAUGGAGGGGGAUAACUACUGGAAACGGUAGCUAAUACCGCAUAACGUCGCAAGACCAAAGAGGGGGACCUUCGGGCCUCUUGCCAUCGGAUGUGCCCAGAUGGGAUUAGCUAGUAGGUGGGGUAACGGCUCACC